rnacentral:lncRNA from 1 species
UGUAUUUCUUGCCCAAACUCCCUUUUACAGCACUUCUGAGAACAUAGGUCCCUUAGAGCAAGAUGCAAAUCAAUUGCUGUAUUUGAGUGGGAAGCCAUUGAUAUCUAUUUAGAGGGGCCUUGAGUUAGCUGAACAGAAACACUGAACACAGGCACGUUGCUGCAGGCUAAUCCCUUCCAUGAUGUGAGUGUGCUUGGUGCCUUCAAAUCCAAAACCCAAAUUCCUACUGGAAGGCAUUUUCAAUACUGUCACUUUGGAUUUGGACUUACAGACUCAGAUCUCCUUGUGGAAACCAUCUCAAAGUUUCCUGUCAAGAAUUGAGUAGUGUUGAUUCUUUUUCCUUACAAAAGAAAGAUGGUUCCAUCACCCAUUUUCUUUAUUAAAAUAUAAUAAUUCAGGGCACUUUGAAAAUAAAAGAAAAUUCAGUGCAGUCAGCAUACUGCAAGAUCUUUGUAUGGCAACUUGAACAACCAGCAAAAUCUUCUACUGGUUACAAUCGAGAUUAUCUGCAUCUAUCCUGAAGAUGUCCUCUAAUCUUAGUAGUCUCUUUGUUUUUAUGUCACCACAACUGGUGCUUUAAAGGCCAAUAAAGUUACUGGGAGAUGGUUCAGUGACUAAAAGCACUGUAGUUAUCUUACAAAAUGAAUCUGUAAAACGAACCUGAACUUUUCCAAAUACCCUAUUAAAACUGCUCUAUAGAUUAAAGGCUGUGUGAACCACUAUAAGGGAACAGUUACAUCAUGGCCUGGACUGAUGACUGAGCACCAGGUGAGCAGGAUGACUGGCCCAGGAAGCACAAGUGGAAGCAAUUCACCUGUUCUUACCACAUGACUGAAAGGAGUGGACUGACCUGUGAGUCUCACCAGUCUCACCUCGGGAAGAUCGUGGAACAGAUCCUCCUAGAAGCUAUGCUAAGGCACAUGGAAGGCAGGGAACUGAUAUGGAAGAACCAGCAUGGCUUCACCAGGGGCAAAUCCUGUUUAACCAAUCUGGUGGUCUUUUGUGAUAGUAUCAUUGCAUGAAUGGACAAGGGAAGGGCCAUUGAUAUCAUCUAUUUUGACUUUAAUAAGGCCUUUGACACAGUACCUCACAACACCCUUCUCUCCAUGUUGGAAAGAUAUGGAUUUGAUGGUUGGACUGUUUGAUGGAUGAAGAACUGGCUGCAGAAUCGAGUCCAGAGCAUGUCCACAGAAGAGCUACAGAAAUGAUCCAUGGAAUGGAACACCUUCGCUACGAGGACAGGCUUAGAGAGCUGGGGCUGUUCAGCCUGGAGAAGAGAAGGCUGCAAGGUGACCUGAUAGCAGCCUUUCAGUUUAUAAAGCUGAUAUCAAGCUAACUGCCUUAGAUGUAAUGGACUCUGCCAGCGGAUCAGAAAAUAAAAACAACGGAAGAGAAGAAAGAUGCCAAAUGUUUUUGAGGUACUCUCCAGCAGUGAAAUGAAUGAUUUUAGUCAAAUGUGCAUUGUGGAUGCUGGAUGGAUACGAAUUCAGAAUACAGCAAAGGAAAGCAGAAGAAAUAAAAGAGACUACUACAAGUUACGUGAGGAAAGAGAACAACCAUUGUUUGAUUAUACAUACAUACUUAAUUGGAAUGAAAAAAUCCUCAACUUGGUAAUGUAUUUCAUUCUGUUAGCCUUGUAGUUGUUUCAUAUUUGACAAAAAUAAAGAAUACAUCUGAAGUUUUUAAAGCUAGAAGAAAAUAUGAUUGCAUUUUUUCGUGUGUGACUGGUUUUGAUUUCAUCUUACAGUUUGUUGGUUCACAAUGCAGCAACAAAACUUUAAACAGAGGAAACUGUGUUCCAAAAGAAAACUCUGUAUCCUCCGAAAAAACACUUGGUGAAUACUCCUAUGUAUGUCUCUAUGGCUGUAACUUCAGUGAAACUUACAGCUGGGAACCUUUACAC